rnacentral:rRNA from 1 species
AGAGUUUCGAUCCUGGCACAGGACGAACGCUGGCGGCGUGCUUAACACAUGCAAGUCGAACGAUGAAGCCCAGCUUGCUGGGUGGAUUAGUGGCGAACGGGUGAGUAACACGUGAGUAACCUGCCCUUGACUCUGGGAUAAGCGCUGGAAACGGCGUCUAAUACCGGAUACGACCUGCCCCGGCAUCGGGUGCGGGUGGAAAGUUUUCGGUCAAGGAUGGACUCGCGGCCUAUCAGCUAGUUGGUGAGGUAAUGGCUCACCAAGGCGACGACGGGUAGCCGGCCUGAGAGGGUGACCGGCCACACUGGGACUGAGACACGGCCCAGACUCCUACGGGAGGCAGCAGUGGGGAAUAUUGCACAAUGGGCGAAAGCCUGAUGCAGCAACGCCGCGUGGGGGAUGACGGCCUUCGGGUUGUAAACCUCUUUUAGUAGGGAAGAAGGGCUUCGGCUUGACGGUACCUGCAGAAAAGCACCGGCUAACUACGUG